GAUGAAGAACGCAGUGAAAUGCGAUACGUAAUGUGAAUUGCAGAAUUCAGUGAAUCAUCGAAUCUUUGAACGCAUAUUGCGCUCUUUGGUAUUCCGAAGAGCAUGCUUGCUUGAGUAUCAGUAAACACCUCAAAGCUUUUGGAUUUUUUAAUCGAAAAGCUUUGGACUUGAGCAAUCCCAACACCAAUCUUUUUGAGAUCGGUGGCGGGUUGCUUGAAAUGCAGGUGCAGCUGGACAUUCUCCUGAGCUAAAAGCAUAUUCAUUUAGUCCCGUCAAACGGAUUAUUACUUUUGCUGCAGCUAACAUAAAGGGAGUUUGACCGUAUUGGCUGACUGAUGCAGGAUUUCACAAGGGUCGGCAACGAUUCUUGUUAAACUCGAUCUCAAAUCAAGUAAGACUACCCGCUGAACUUAAGCAUAUCAAUAAGCGGAGGA
rnacentral:misc_RNA from 1 species